CCUCAGAGCUGCUGCAGUUGAUAAAAUACAAAAACAAGUGAUUGUCGUGCCAUAUGGAAUUUUAAAAAGGGAAAACAUUCAGGAACUCGUCAAUUUGACGCAUUUAUCCAGCCAACUGCUCACCGUGUCCCUACAAGACCCACAGCAUAUGGCCCCGGGUAGUAAAACUGUUACAGUUAAGAUGACCGGGAACUUCAUGAAGCCAAGCAUUGAUGGUCUACAGGGUUUGCUGAAAAUGCCGCACGGUUGUGGGGAACAAAAUAUGGUUGACUUUGCACCUGAUGUUUACAUUGCUAAAUAUCUAAAAACAGUUGGAAAGCUUACUAAGGAGAUAGAGGA